rnacentral:rRNA from 1 species
AUUGAACGCUGGCGGCAGGCCUAACACAUGCAAGUCGCACGAGUGGCGGACGGGUGAGUAAUGUCUGGGAAACUGCCUGAUGGAGGGGGAUAACUACUGGAAACGGUAGCUAAUACCGCAUACCAUCAGAUGUGCCCAGAUGGGAUUAGCUAGUAGGUGAGGUAAAGGCUCACCAAGGCGACGAUCCCUAGCUGGUCUGAGAGGAUGACCAGCCAUACUGGAACUAGGCCACUGUCCAGACUCCUACGGGAGGCAGCAGUGGGGAAUAUCGCACAAUGGGCGCAAGCCUGAUGCAGCCAUGCCGCGUGUAUGAAGAAGGCCUUCGGGUUUUAAAGUUCUUUCAUCGGGGAGGCGUUACCCGCAGAAGAAGCACCGGCUAACUCCGUGCCAGCAGCCGCGGUAAUAC